ACAGGCUUAACACAUGCAAGUCGAGGGGCAGCAUGGUCUUAGCUUGCUAAGGCCGAUGGCGACCGGCGCACGGGUGAGUAACACGUAUCCAACCUGCCGUCUACUCUUGGACAGCCUUCUGAAAGGAAGAUUAAUACAAGAUGGCAUCAUGAGUCCGCAUGUUCACAUGAUUAAAGGUAUUCCGGUAGACGAUGGGGAUGCGUUCCAUUAGAUAGUAGGCGGGGUAACGGCCCACCUAGUCUUCGAUGGAUAGGGGUUCUGAGAGGAAGGUCCCCCACAUUGGAACUGAGACACGGUCCAAACUCCUACGGGAGGCAGCAGUGAGGAAUAUUGGUCAAUGGGCGAGAGCCUGAACCAGCCAAGUAGCGUGAAGGAUGACUGCCCUAUGGGUUGUAAACUUCUUUUAUAAAGGAAUAAAGUCGGGUAUGGAUACCCGUUUGCAUGUACUUUAUGAAUAAGGAUCGGCUAACUCCGUGCCAGCAGCCGCGGUAAUACGGAGGAUCCGAGCGUUAUCCGGAUUUAUUGGGUUUAAAGGGAGCGUAGAUGGAUAUUUAAGUCAGUUGUGAAAGUUUGCGGCUCAACCGUAAAAUUGCAGUUGAUACUGGAUAUCUUGAGUGCAGUUGAGGCAGGCGGAAUUCGUGGUGUAGCGGUGAAAUGCUUAGAUAUCACGAAGAACUCCGAUUGCGAAGGCAGCCUGCUAAGCUGCAACUGACAUUGAGGCUCGAAAGUGUGGGUAUCAAACAGGAUUAGAUACCCUGGUAGUCCACACGGUAAACGAUGAAUACUCGCUGUUUGCGAUAUACUGCAAGCGGCCAAGCGAAAGCGUUAAGUAUUCCAUCUGGGGAGUACGCCGGCAACGGUGAAACUCAAAGGAAUUGACGGGGGCCCGCACAAGCGGAGGAACAUGUGGUUUAAUUCGAUGAUACGCGAGGAACCUUACCCGGGCUUAAAUUGCAGAUGAAUUACGGUGAAAGCCGUAAGCCGCAAGGCAUCUGUGAAGGUGCUGCAUGGUUGUCGUCAGCUCGUGCCGUGAGGUGUCGGCUUAAGUGCCAUAACGAGCGCAACCCUUGUUGUCAGUUACUAACAGGUUCCGCUGAGGACUCUGACAAGACUGCCAUCGUAAGAUGUGAGGAAGGUGGGGAUGACGUCAAAUCAGCACGGCCCUUACGUCCGGGGCUACACACGUGUUACAAUGGGGGGUACAGAGGGCCGCUACCACGCGAGUGGAUGCCAAUCCCAAAAACCUCUCUCAGUUCGGACUGGAGUCUGCAACCCGACUCCACGAAGCUGGAUUCGCUAGUAAUCGCGCAUCAGCCACGGCGCGGUGAAUACGUUCCCGGGCCUUGUACACACCGCCCGUCAAGCCAUGGGAGCCGGGGGUACCUGAAGUGCGUAACCGCGAGGAGCGCCCUAGGGUAAAACUGGUGACUGGG
rnacentral:rRNA from 1 species